UCAAAAUUAAAGGGAAAAAAAACGAAAUUCUCUGUAAGCGAAAAAGCUCUGAAGACAUUCGCAGGUCCGUCACUGCCUUGCACUUGUGGGAAACGAACUUGUCAUUCAAGCUUCUUCUUCUGAGGCUCUCUCUCUCUCGUUGCCUGUUCUCGUCCUUUAAUUUCACGAUUUGAUGGUCAUUCGAACGCUUGACUUAAUUUGAAUUUUCUAGUGGAUUUUUAGUUGAUCACACGUAGUGUUUAUUUGAUUAUUCCUUAAUUAUGCUUCGAAAUGCAACGUUUUGAUCUUGAUUAGGGUUGCUUCUUGGCUGUAGAUUUUGGAGAGUAUAAACUGAUUAAUUAGAUGUAUUUAUUAAAAUUUUCAGAAAAUAAUCUGAGAUAAACUGAAAGAAAUAAAAAGAAGAAGAAUAUACUAAUUAUUACUUACCGAGCUCUGAUUAGUUGCUGAGAAGUUCAAAGAAAGAAAGGAGAAAUUAAAGUUACAAAUUCUAUAUUGUUCGUUGUUUUUCUUUCUGAAGAGUUAAAAUUUAGAUGGAAUUGGUAUUGUUGUCUUUCUGUUCUUUUCUUGAUGAGGUGUUAUACAAUUUCAGGUGAAGGUACUGGUCUCCUAAGCCGUCAUAGCACAUAUAGACGUGAUCUUAAAAUUUACAGCUUUGAUGAGGGCGGUGUACAGAUGUCUGCAGCUGCAUUUGCCAAAGGCCUCCUUGACCUUGAAGGACAGUUGAUGCCAAUCCUGUUAUUGUAUUUUGAUCGAGAUGGGAGUAGUGGAUUGAGCCUUGCACUGCAGGACAACACAAAAACUGAGAAGGUGACAGCUGCUGGCAUGUAUUUUCUUGGUUUGCUGGUUCACUGGUUAGAUCAAACAGCCAACUUGCUGGCUGCUGCAAAGGAUCCAGAUGCUGCCAACUUUAAAAAACUGGAUAUCUUUCAGCCAUGUGAAAUAACUGAACUGAAGUUGAUUUUUUUUUUUUUUUUGUAAGUGCAAGCUGCACAAUAGAAGCCCUCUGUGCUGCCCCUUUUAAAGAAGAAAAGGAGAAUCUUAGAGCUGUGGAAGCUCAUUCUCACGGAAGGAUAUUUGAGUUGUGGUCAAUUGCUAGUCCAUUGAAAAUCAUUCACGUGCUCCUUCAAGCUAAUACGAGAGUGGUACCUUUUUCGACAUCCAAAUAGUGAAGAAAGUGGCGAACAUAUUGGCAUCCAAUUAACAAAGAAAGUAAAACUAUUUUACCACUAAUGAGUGACGCAUUCUAUGUCUUUUGUUUGUAAGUUAGUUAUAUUUUUGUUAUUACUUAGUUAUUAGUUGAUUUAUAGUAAUAACAAUUUGAUAAUAAUACAUGUUUUUUAAUUAGUUGAAAAAAUGUUUAAUAUAAAUUGUUGUACUUCAA